UACGGAAGGCAGCAGUGGGGAAUAUUGCACAAUGGGCGCAAGCCUGAUGCAGCCAUGCCGCGUGUAUGAAGAAGGCCUUCGGGUUGUAAAGUACUUUCAGCGGGGAGGAAGGCGAUGCGGUUAAUAACCGCGUCGAUUGACGUUACCCGCAGAAGAAGCACCGGCUAACUCCGUGCCAGCAGCCGCGGUAAUACGGAGGGUGCAAGCGUUAAUCGGAAUUACUGGGCGUAAAGCGCACGCAGGCGGUCUGUUUAAGUCAGAUGUGAAAUCCCCGGGCUUAACCUGGGAACUGCAUUUUGAAACUGGCAGGCUUGAGUCUUGUAGAGGGGGUAGAAUUCCAGGUGUAGCGGUGAAAUGCGUAGAGAUCUGGAGGAAUACCGGUGGCGAAGGCGGCCCCUGGGACAAAGCUGACGCUCAGGUGCGAAAGCGUGGGGAGCGAAACGAGGAUUAGGAUACC
rnacentral:rRNA from 1 species